rnacentral:lncRNA from 1 species
GAACAGAACAGAACAGGUCAGAACAGAACAGAGCAGAGCAGAGCAAAGCAGAACAAGUCAGAACAGAGCAAAGCAGAACAGAACAGAACAGAGCAGAACAGAACAGAACAGGGCAGAACAGAGCAGAGCAGAACAGAACAGGUCAGAACAGAGCAGAACAGAGCAGAGCAGAAAAGGUCAGAACAGGUCAGAACAGAGCAGAGCAGAAAAGGUCAGAACAGGUCAGAACAGAGCAGAGCAGAACAGAACAGAGCAGAGCAGGUCAGAACAGACCAGAGCAGGUCAGAACAGUGCAGAGCAGUGCAGAGCACAACAGAGCACAACAGAGCAGGUCAGAACAGUGCAGAGCAGAACAGAGCAGAACAGGUCAGAACAGAGCACAACAGAACAGAGCACAACAGUGCAGAACAGAGACCUUAAUAACUACAGGCUUAUCUCUGACACACAACACCUAAGCUACACUCAUACACAGUCUGACUGUGACACAGGAUUUUAUCAGCGAAACUAAUUCAAAUAUGUCAAUCUCUUACAGAUCCUAAAGUAAACACAGGUAACCUCCAUUUGCACUGUGGUUUCCUUGUUCAUAUGUCUAAGUUCAUGUCAACAUCUCUCAACGUCUAGAUUCCAAACGGUGCCAGUCGGCCCUGAGUGUCAAACAGACCAGGGGACGAGGCCCCGCCGGCUGUCUGAGGAACGGACCAGGGGACGAGGCCCCGCCGGCUGUCUGAGGAACGGACCAGGGGACGAGGCCCCGCCGGCUGUCUGAGGAACGGACCAGGGGACGAGGCCCCGCCGGCUGUCUGAG